UGGGGAAUCUUCCGCAAUGGACGAAAGUCUGACGGAGCAACGCCGCGUGAGUGAUGACGGCCUUCGGGUUGUAAAGCUCUGUUAAUCGGGACGAAAGGCCUUCUUGCGAAUAGUGAGAAGGAUUGACGGUACCGGAAUAGAAAGCCACGGCUAACUACGUGCCAGCAGCCGCGGUAAUACGUAGGUGGCAAGCGUUGUCCGGAAUUAUUGGGCGUAAAGCGCGCGCAGGCGGAUAGGUCAGUCUGUCUUAAAAGUUCGGGGCUUAACCCCGUGAUGGGAUGGAAACUGCCAAUCUAGAGUAUCGGAGAGGAAAGUGGAACUCCUAGUGUAGCGGUGAAAUGCGUAGAUAUUAGGAAGAACACCAGUGGCGAAGGCGACUUUCUGGACGAAAACUGACGCUGAGGCGCGAAAGCCAGGGGAGCGAACGGGAUUAGAUACCCCGGUAGUCCUGGCCGUAAACGAUGAGUACUAGGUGUAGGAGGUAUCGACCCCUUCUGUGCCGGAGUUAACGCAAUAAGUACCCCGCCUGGGGAGUACGACCGCAAGGUUG
rnacentral:rRNA from 1 species